rnacentral:lncRNA from 1 species
UGCUUAAGGCUAAGCCAUUUGCUUAUGCUUCAAAGAAACAUUUUAAAGAAUGUGACAAGCCCAAGCCUUCACCAACUCCAUACUACUACAAAUCACCUCCACCUCCCUCACCUGUUUACAAGUACAACUCUCCACCUCCACCAGUCCAUUAUUAUUCACCACCAUAUUACUACAAAUCACCUCCUCCUCCAGUAAAAUCGCCACCAACACCUUACUACUACAAAUCACCUCCACCUCCCUCACCAGUUUACAAGUACAACUCACCACCUCCACCGGUCCAUUAUUACUCUCCUCCAUAUUCCUAUAAGUCGCCUCCACCUCCCUCACCAGUUUACAAAUACAACUCCCCACCUCCACCAGUCCACCAUUAUGAUCCUCCAUAUUACUACAAGUCACCUCCACCUCCCUCACCAGUUUACAAGUACAACUCCCCACCUCCACCAGUCCAUUAUUAUUCACCUCCAUAUUACUACAAAUCCCCACCUCCUCCUGUGAAAUCCCCACCACCCCCUUACUACUAUAAAUCACCUCCACCUCCCUCACCAGUUUACAAAUACAACUCACCACCUCCACCGGUUUACAAGUACAACUCACCACCUCCACCAGUCCACCAUUAUGAUCCUCCAUAUAACUACAAGUCACCUCCACCUCCUUCACCUGUUUACAAGUACAACUCCCCACCUCCACCAGUCCAUUAUUAUUCACCUCCAUAUUACUACAAAUCACNNN